rnacentral:lncRNA from 1 species
AUGAGGAAAGAGUCACCAGCCACCCACGUUGCCUCCACACCGGGUGUCACUGUGACCUUAGCAGACAACAGGGUCCUCCCGAGGAGAGAACACAAUAGGCACACUGGAUGGGGGGAGAGGGUCCAAAAGCCCCAAGCAGGGGGCAGGUCUGGGCAGAGGAGAAGGUGCUGUGUCUGUGGUGGCACUGGAUGCCUUGGAAGGAUAGCUGUGAUUAGAACAUGUGUGUAAAGCGCCUGUCAUGGCAGCGUCCUUCUCCUGGCGGCAAGUCUUCACUUGCAAAACAAGUCCUUUUAGAAACAGGCUUUGUGACAGCUGCUGCUAUCCAGUCAUCUUUAGAGCCCUGGAGUCCUCGCCAAGGGCACGGGCUCCCUUUGUGGUCCUGGAAUAAUGGGGCCUGCCCGGCACUCUCAGAUUGCAUGGGGAUCUGCUUGACUUAGGGUUCUACUGAUGAAUUCAUUUAACUUUGACCUGGGAAGAAAAGUCAUAAAUUCACAUCCAUGAACAGGAGGAGAAGAAGGGUAACUGCUAUAGAGACUGCACAGUGAUGACCCCUGCAUGCAUUUUUCAGUCAACAAGAGCAUCUCGUGACUUCUGAUCAUGGUUCCAAGGUCUGUGGGUGCCACGUUUUUUGAGUUUACCGAGACCACAGAUUGGAGACUUUGAAGUGCCCUCCAGGUCCAUGCAGCAGGCCCACUUCACUGCAGGGACAGGGUCUACAGGAGGGUGUCAUAUUUUAGUUAGAAUGGCAGAGCCAUGGAUAACACUCAGUCCUAUUAUGGAGCUGGACCCGGAACCCAGAAACUCAGAAAAGUUAAGUGAUUUGUGAGUAACAUCCACAUGGAGCCGCUGGAACUGAACUCAAAUACAGGUUUAACCUUGGCAUUAGCUAAGUGACUGCCGUGGUUUGGAUAAGAUAUUUUUGUCCCCACCAAAUCUCAUGCUGAAAUGGGACCCCAGUGUGGCAGUGUUGGGAGAUGGUCCUGGUGGGAGGUGUUUGGGUCGUGGGGGCGGAGCCGUUGUGAAGAGCUUCAUGCCAUUGUUCUAUUAGCAGAGAGUGAGUUCUUGCUCUCUCAAGACUGGAUUGGGUCUUGGGGGGAUGGAUUAGUUCCCGAGAGUGGGUUGUGAUAAAGCCCAGACACCCCUCAGAUUUAGUCCUUCUUGGCACCUUCCCACCGCCCAUUUGACCUUCUCCACCAUGUUUUGACACAGCAUGAAAGCCCGCACCAGAAGCCGAGCAGAUGCCAGCAUCAGGCUUCUUGUACAGCCUGCAGAUUCAUGGGCUAAAUAAACCUCCUUUCUUUAUAAAUUACCCAGGCUCAGGUAUUCCUUCAUAGCAACACAGAGGGACUAAGCAGUGGCCUAGAGAAAGCCAUAUAGAUUCAUUUAGCUUCAGCCUCUGCAGCUGUAAUGUGGGCCUAAUAAGAGUGCAGAAGUCAAAGGAUUGUGCAAGAUUCAGAGAGAAUACAUGUAUGCCACCCAACCUACAGUGGCACGGGGUGGACUCUCAAUAAACGGGAAUCACUACUGAAACACUGUAUACUACUACUAUUCUCGUUGCCUAAGGUAUUUUAGUUACCUAUACUUAUUAGUUUUGCAAUGAACAAUAUACCAAUUUGUUCAGAUCAGAAUCAUCCUUGGGUGAAAGACGGUUGGGAAACAGGAUAUCGACGUGAUCUUAGUGUAUUUCCCCUCAGGUCACUUAUUAUUUACAAGGAGAAAAUAACACCUUUAACUUAGAGAUAUCUGGUGGUUAUCGCCUUAACUGAGAGAUAAAACUUGCAUCGCCAGUAAUGGGACAGUCUUCUACGUACUUCCUAAAGGGAUGUGUGGAAAAAGACAUGAUAUUGCUUGUAUAGUGUUCUUGCCAACAAUAGUUAGCCUGAAUUGAAUUGUGAGAAAGCAAUCGAAGUCCAACAAUGAGAGAUCCUGCAAAACAACUGGCCCAGGCUUCCGAAGUGUUAGAAUAAAGGAAGGCAAAGAAAGGUAGCGAAAUUAUCUUAGAUUAAAGGAUGCCAAAGAGGUAUGAUAAUAAACGCAGUACAGGGGACUUUGGAAAAUUAGGACAUGGACUGAAUAUUAAAUAAUAUCUCCAUGUCAAUGUUAUGUUUUCUGAGUAUAACAAGGGCAUUUGGUUAUACAGGAGCAUGUCCUUGUUCGAAGAAGAUACAUACUGAAGUAUUUAGGAGUAAGAGUCAUGAUACAUGAAACUCCUUUUCAAAUGGUUCAGCCAAAAGGACUGUGUGUGUGUGUGUAUACAACAUGUAGAGAGAGUUGUUUAAAGCAAAUGGGGUAAGAAAGGUAAGAUUACAUACGGUUCUGAUAUGAUACCAAUUAUAUUUGUGAUAUAACU